rnacentral:lncRNA from 10 species
GGCAUUGAGUGUCUGCCACUUUUCCAGGGGCAUGGUGCAAGCUGUCAGUGGAUCUACCAUCCUGAAGGAGGGUAGCCCUCUUCUCAAAGCUCCACUAGGUAGUGCCUCUGUGGGAACUCUGUGUGGGGGCUCCAACCCCAUAUUUUCUUUCCACACUGCCCUAGCAGAGGUUCUCCAUGAAGGCUCUGCCCCUGCAGCACACCUCUGCCUUGACAUUCAGGCAUUUCCAUACAUCCUCUGAAAUCUAGGCAGAAGUUCCCAAACCUCAAUUCUUGUUUUUUGUAUACCUGCAGGACCAACACCACAUGGAAGCUGCCAAGGCUUGGGGCUUUUACUCUCUGAAGCAACAACCUGAGCUGUGUCUUCCUUUAUAGCCAAACCUGGAGCAACUGGGAUGUAGAGCACCAAGUCCUGAGGCUGCACACAGCAAGGGGCCCUGGACCCAGUCCCUGAAACCAUUUUUCUCUCCUAGACCUCUGGGCCUGUGAUGGUAGGGGCUGCCAGGAAGGUCUCUGACAUGCCCUGGAGAGCAUUGUCUUGGUGAUUAACAUUCGGCUCCUCAUUACUUAUGCAAAUUUCUGCAGCUGGCUUGAAUUUCUCCCCAGAAAAUGGGUUUUUCUUUUCUAUCAAAUCAUUGGGCUGUAAAUUUCCCAAACUUUUGUGCUCUACUUUCCUUUUAAACGUAAGUUCCAAUUUCAGACCAUCUCUCUCAAGUUCAAAGUUCCACAAAUCUCUAGGGCAGUGGCAAAAUGCUGCCAGUUCUCUUUGCUAAAGUGUAGCAAGAAUGACCUUUGCUCCAGUUCUUAAGAAGUUCCUCAUCUCCAUCUGAGACCACCUCAGCCUGGACUUCAUUGUCCAUAUCACUAUGAGCAUUUUGGUCAAAACCAUUCAACAAGGCUCUAGGAAGUUCCAAACUUUCCCAAAUCCUUCUGUCUUCUGAGCCCUCCAAACUGUUCCAAACUCUGCCCAUUACCCAGUUCCAAAGUUGCUUCCACAUUUUCAGGUGCCCCACUUUUCAGCAGUGCCCCACUCUCUGUGGUACCAAUUUAUUGUAUUAAUCCAUUCUUACACCGCUAUAAAGAAAUACCCAAGCCUGGGCAAUUUAUAAAGGAAGGAGGUUUAAUUGACUCACAGUUCCACAUGGCUGGAAACUUACAGGGAAACUGACAAUCGUGGCAGAAGGGGAAGCAAGGACUUCUUCACAUGGUGGCAAGAGGGAGAAGAGUGAGCAAAGGAAGAACUUGUCAAACACUUAUAAAACUAUCAGAUCUCAUGAGAACUCACUCACUAUCCAGAGAACAGCAUGGGUGAAACUGCCCCUAGGAUCUAAUCACCUACCACCAGGUUCCUCAACACUUGGGGAUUACAAUUCAAGAUGAGAUUUGGGUGGGGACGCAAAACCUAACCAUAUCAAUGAGGCUCAGGAUUUUUAAGUGAUAUCCCUGAGGCAGCCCCACUAACAGGUGCUUGAGUUGGGAUUCAAACCCUCUCCAGCUGGCAUCAGCUGGAAGAAGCCAGAAGAAGCCAGAGCUUCUUGAACUGCGCUGCACUGUCCCCUACUGGCUCCAUUCUCUCAUCAUUGCUGAUUAAGGAUCACAGAGCCGGCAGAAAGGACAGGAACCAGGGGACGCCAGGACACCUCAGCAUUAGAAACACUUGAACUGGUUCCAAGAGUGGCUGCCAUCAGAUUACCAACGGCAAGGACUUUCUGACUUUGUGCGCCCUUGCUUAAGACAAAUUCCACCUCAUCAAGAGAUGCUGAUUUUCCUAGCUGCUGUCAAGCCCACUGCUCCAGGGAUAGGGAUGAAGGUGUGAGGGAUGAAGGUGUGAGGCAUGGAGUGCAGCCUUGUGAUUGGCAACCUCACCAAAACAACCUGGAGGAAGGAAGGGAAGUUCAUGAAAAGGAGGCAUGUGCCAGACUAAAACCACAAGUAUCCACCAGAGAAACCUAGAACUUAAAGAUUAUCUUUCUACUUGUCCAUUUGAUACGCAAGAGCCCAUUAUGUGAUACUGUACUAGAACAUACCAGUGAUAGACAAUGCAAUCAUAUUUGAGGCCACCCUCAAAUGAAGCAGCAUGGGAGAAACUGCUCUAAAAGAGAACUGAACUGAAAUUCACCUCCAUGUAACUUGUUCCUGUUGCUCUUAGCACAUUUUCCUGGAGCCCCAUGGAUCAAGUCAAUUCAGUUGUUCUCAAGAUGAUGCUUUAAAUAUUUGAUGGCAGAAAUCACAUCUCUGUGGGUUCUUUCCCAAGCUUAAACAUCCUUAGUUCCUUCAACCAUCUUGGUGGGUUUUGGCCACUGGAUAUGUGCAUUAUUCAAUUCCAGAACUACACAUCUUUCUUUAUAUAGUUGCUUAAUGCAGAUUCCAAUUUGCAGAUAAUACAUUCAACAAAGAUUUACAGAGCGCCUGCUUUGAGUCAGGAAUUAUACUAGAUGCUGGGGAUAUAUGUUGAGCAAACAUAGACCUCUCCUCUCUC